AACCAUAGAAACCUGCGGAGUACCUGCGGAGGGAUCAUUACCGAGUUUACAACUCCCAAACCCCUGUGAACAUACCUAUACGUUGCCUCGGCGGAUCAGCCCGCGCCCUGUAAAAAGGGACGGCCCGCCCGAGGACCCUAAACUCUGUUUUUAGUGGAACUUCUGAGUAAAACAAACAAAUAAAUCAAAACUUUUAGCAAUGGAUCU
rnacentral:misc_RNA from 1 species